AGAGUUUGAUCCUGGCUCAGAGUGAACGCUAGCGGUGCGCCUAACACAUGCAAGUCGCGCGAGGAGCAAUCCUAGCGGCGGACGGCUGCGUAACACGUUGGAAUCUACCCCAAACUCAGGGAUAACCUGUCGAAAGACGGGCUAAUACCGGAUGGUCUCGUAAGAGUAAAGCUUCGGCGGUUUGGGAGGAGCCUGCGGCCUAUCAGUUAGUUGGUGAGGUAACGGCUCACCAAGACAAUGACGGGUAGCUGAUCUGAGAGGAUGAUCAGCCAGAAUGGAACUGAGACACGGUCCAUACUCCUACGGGAGGCAGCAGUGAGGAAUCUUCCGCAAUGGGCGAAAGCCUGACGGAGCGACACCGCGUGAAGGAUGAAGGCCUUUUAGGUCGUAAACUUCUGUUCUGAGGGAAGAAAUUUUUGACGGUACCUCAGGAGAAAGCAUCGGCUAACCCUGUGCCAGCAGCCGCGGUAAGACAGGGGAUGCAAGCGUUACUCGGAAUUACUGGGCGUAAAGCGUCUGUAGGUGUCUCAUUAAGUCUGGGGUUAAAGUUCGGAGCUCAACUCCGUGAUUGUCCCGGAAACUGACGAGAUUGAGUUAUCCAGAGGCACCUGGAAUGCCAUAAGUAGGGGUAAAAUCCGUAGAUAUAUGGUAGAACGCCAAAAGCGAAGGCAGGGUGCUGGGGAUACACUGACACUGAGAGACGAAAGCGUGGGGAGCAAAGGGGAUUAGAUACCCCCGUAGUCCACGCCCUAAACGAUGCGUGCUCGAUGUGGGAGAUUUUCAAUUGUCUUCCGUGUCUAAGCUAACGCGGUAAGCACGCCGCCUGGGAAGUACGGUCGCAAGACUAAAACUCAAAGGAAUAGACGGGGACCCACACAAUCGGUGGAGCAUGGGGUUUAAUUCGAUAAUAAGCGAAGCACCUCACCCAGGUUUGACAUCUUAGGAAUCCGGUCGAAAGAUCGGAGUGCCGCAAGGAACCUAAAGACAGGCGCUGCACGGUCGUCGUCAGCUCGUGCCUUGAGGUGUGUUGUUCAGUCAAUGAACGAGCGCAACCCUGGUCCUGUGUUGUAUUUUUCACGGGAGACUGCCGGCUCCAAGCCGGAGGAAGGUCAGGAUGACGUCAGAUCAGCGUGGCCCUUAUACCUGGGGCAACACCCGUGCUACAAUGGUUGGUACAGAGCGCAGCAAACCCGCGAGGGCUAGCCAAUCGCAUAAAACCAAUCUCAGUCCGGAUUGAAGUCUGCAACUCGACUUCAUGAAGUUGGAAUCGCUAGUAACCGUGAAUCAGCUACGUCACGGUGAAUAUGUUCCUGGGUCUUGUACUCACCGCCCGUCAAGUCAUGAAAGGCAGGGGCACCCGAAGCACCUUUACCGCAAGGGAGGUACCACGGUGAAACUGCUGAUUGGGACUAAGUCGUAACAAGGUA
rnacentral:rRNA from 1 species